AUUGAACGCUGGCGACAGGCUUAACACAUGCAAGUCGAGCGGGGAAGGGUAGCUUGCUACCUAACCUAGCGGCGGACGGGUGAGUAAUGCUUAGGAAUCUGCCAUUUAGUGGGGGACAACAUUCCGAAAGGAAUGCUAAUACCGCAUACGUCCUACGGGAGAAAGCAGGGGAUCUUCGGACCUUGCGCUAAAUGAUGAGCCUAAGUCGGAUUAGCUAGUUGGUGGGGUAAAGGCCUACCAAGGCGACGAUCUGUAGCGGGUCUGAGAGGAUGAUCCGCCACACUGGGACUGAGACACGGCCCAGACUCCUACGGGAGGCAGCAGUGGGGAAUAUUGGACAAUGGGCGGAAGCCUGAUCCAGCCAUGCCGCGUGUGUGAAGAAGGCCUUAUGGUUGUAAAGCACUUUAAGCGAGGAGGAGGCUACUUAGAUUAAUACUCUAGGAUAGUGGACGUUACUCGCAGAAUAAGCACCGGUUAACUCUGUGCCAGCCGCCGCCGUAACAC
rnacentral:rRNA from 1 species